rnacentral:rRNA from 1 species
AACGAACGCUGGCGGCAUGCCUAACACAUGCAAGUCGAGCGCCCGUAGCAAUACGGGAGCGGCGCACGGGUGAGUAGCGCGUGGGAACCUGCCCAGAGGUUCGGGACAACCGCGGGAAACUGCGGCUGAUACCGGAUGAUGCCUGAGGGCCAAAGAUUUAUCGCCUUUGGAGGGGCCCGCGUCGGAUUAGGUAGUUGGUGAGGUAGCGGCUCACCAAGCCUGUGAUCCGAGCUGGUCUGAGAGGAUGAUCAGCCACACUGGGACUGAGACACGGCCCAGACUCCUACGGGAGGCAGCAGUGGGGAGUAUUGGACAAUGGGGGCAACCCUGAUCCAGCAAUGCCGCGUGGGUGAUGAAGGCCUUCGGUU